rnacentral:rRNA from 1 species
GAUGAACGCUGGCGGCGUGCCUAAUACAUGCAAGUCGAGCGAAGCGGGGACGGGUGAGGAACACGUGGAUAACCUCCUAUAAGACUGGGAUAACUUCGGGAAACCGGUGCUAAACCGGAUAUUUAUAGUUGGCUCAUCGCUGCAUUAGCUAGUUGGUAAGUUAACGGCUUACAAAGGCAACGAGGCAUCGCCGACCUGAGAGGGGGAUCGGCCACACUGGAACUGAGACACGGUCCAGACUCCUACGGGAGGCAGCAGUAGGGAAUCUUCCGCAAUGGGCGAAAGCCUGACGGAGCAACGCCGCGUGAGUGAUGAAGGUUUUCGGAUCGUAAAACUCUGUUAUUAGGGAAGCGGUACCUAAUCAGAAAGCCACGGCUAACUACGUGCCAGCAGCCGCGGUAAUAC